rnacentral:rRNA from 1 species
CCUACGGGAGGCAGCAGUGGGGAAUAUUGCACAAUGGGGGAAACCCUGAUGCAGCGACGCCGCGUGAGUGAAUAAGGAUUUCGGUAUGUAAAGCUCUGUCAGCAGGGAAGAAAAUGACGGUACCUGACCAAGAAGCCCCGGCUAACUACGUGCCAGCAGCCGCGGUAAUACGUAGGGGGCAAGCGUUAUCCGGAUUUACUGGGGGUAAAGGGAGCGUAGACGGCAGGGCAAGUCUGGAGUGAAAGGCGGGGGCUCAACCCCCGGACUGCGCUGGAAACUGCCAGUCUGGAGUGCAGGAGAGGUAAGUGGAAUUCCUAGUGUAGCGGGGAAAUGCGUAGAUAGUAGGAGGAACACCAGUGGCGAAGGCGGCUUACUGGACUGUAACUGACGUUGAGGCUCGAAAGCGUGGGGAGCAAACAGGAUUAGAUACCCGGGUAGUC